GACGAACGCUGGCGGCGUGCUUAACACAUGCAAGUCGAGCGAUGAAGUUCCUUUCGGGGUACGGAUUAGCGGCGGACGGGUGAGUAACACGUGGGUAACCUGCCUCCCAGAGGGGGAUAGCCUCCUGCAAGGGAGAUUAAUACCUCAUAAUAUCUUUUUAAUGCCUGUUAGAUCGAUUAAAGGAGCCAUCCGUUUUGAGAUGGACCCGCGGCGCAUUAGCUCGUUGGGUAGUUAACGCCACACCAAGGCGACGAUGCGUAGCCGACAAGAGAGGGUGAUCGGCGACAUUGGGACUGAGACACGGCCGAGACUCCUACGGGAGGCAGGAGUGGGGGAUAGUGCGCAAUGGGGGAAACCAUGACGCAGCAACGACGCGUGAGUGAUGAAGGUCUUCGGAUCGUAAAGCUCUGGCUUCAGGGACGAUAAUGACGGUACCUGAGGAGGAAGCCACGGCUAACUACGUG
rnacentral:rRNA from 1 species